ACGAACGCUGGCGGCGUGCUUAACACAUGCAAGUCGAACGGAAAGGCCCUUCGGGGUACUCGAGUGGCGAACGGGUGAGUAACACGUGGGUGAUCUGCCCUGCACUUUGGGAUAAGCCUGGGAAACUGGGUCUAAUACCGAAUAGGACCACGGUCUGCAUGGAUUGUGGUGGAAAGCUUUUGCGGUGUGGGAUGGGCCCGCGGCCUAUCAGCUUGUUGGUGAGGUUACGGCUCACCAAGGCGACGACGGGUAGCCGGCCUGAGAGGGUGUCCGGCCACACUGGGACUGAGAUACGGCCCAGACUCCUACGGGAGGCAGCAGUGGGGAAUAUUGCACAAUGGGCGCAAGCCUGAUGCAGCGACGCCGCGUGAGGGAUGACGGCCUUCGGGUUGUAAACCUCUUUCGCCAGGGACGAAGCGCAAGUGACGGUACCUGGAGAAGAAGCACCGGCCAACUACGUGCCAGCAGCCGCGGUAAUACGUAGGGUGCGAGCGUUGUCCGGAAUUACUGGGCGUAAAGAGCUCGUAGGUGGUUUGUCGCGUUGUUCGUGAAAACUCACAGCUUAACUGUGGGCGUGCGGGCGAUACGGGCAGACUGGAGUACUGCAGGGGAGACUGGAAUUCCUGGUGUAGCGGUGGAAUGCGCAGAUAUCAGGAGGAACACCGGUGGCGAAGGCGGGUCUCUGGGCAGUAACUGACGCUGAGGAGCGAAAGCGUGGGGAGCGAACAGGAUUAGAUACCCUGGUAGUCCACGCCGUAAACGGUGGGUACUAGGUGUGGGUUUCCUUCCUUGGGAUCCGUGCCGUAGCUAACGCAUUAAGUACCCNGCCUGGGGAGUACGGCCGCAAGGCUAAAACUCAAAGGAAUUGACGGGGGCCNGCACAAGCGGCGGAGCAUGUGGAUUAAUUCGAUGCAACGCGAAGAACCUUACCUGGGUUUGACAUGCACAGGACGCCGGCAGAGAUGUCGGUUCCCUUGUGGCCUGUGUGCAGGUGGUGCAUGGCUGUCGUCAGCUCGUGUCGUGAGAUGUUGGGUUAAGUCCCGCAACGAGCGCAACCCUUGUCUCAUGUUGCCAGCACGUAAUGGUGGGGACUCGUGAGAGACUGCCGGGGUCAACUCGGAGGAAGGUGGGGAUGACGUCAAGUCAUCAUGCCCCUUAUGUCCAGGGCUUCACACAUGCUACAAUGGCCGGUACAAAGGGCUGCGAUGCCGUGAGGUGGAGCGAAUCCUUUCAAAGCCGGUCUCAGUUCGGAUCGGGGUCUGCAACUCGACCCCGUGAAGUCGGAGUCGCUAGUAAUCGCAGAUCAGCAACGCUGCG
rnacentral:rRNA from 1 species